AUUGAACGCUGGCGGCAGGCCUAACACAUGCAAGUCGAACGGUAACAGGGAUCAGCUUGCUGAUUCGCUGACGAGUGGCGGACGGGUGAGUAAUGUCUGGGAAACUGCCUGAUGGAGGGGGAUAACUACUGGAAACGGUAGCUAAUACCGCAUAACGUCGCAAGACCAAAGAGGGGGACCUUCGGGCCUCUUGCCAUCGGAUGUGCCCAGAUGGGAUUAGCUAGUAGGUGGGGUAACGGCUCACCUAGGCGACGAUCCCUAGCUGGUCUGAGAGGAUGACCAGCCACACUGGAACUGAGACACGGUCCAGACUCCUACGGGAGGCAGCAGUGGGGAAUAUUGCACAAUGGGCGCAAGCCUGAUGCAGCCAUGCCGGGGGUAUGAAGAAGGCCUUCGGGUUGUAAAGUACUUUCAGCGGGGAGGAAGGGAGUAAAGUUAAUACCUUUGCUCAUUGACGUUACCCGCAGAAGAAGCACCGGCUAACUCCGUGC
rnacentral:rRNA from 1 species